rnacentral:tRNA from 1 species
ACCUUCGUGGUGUAAUGGUAACACACACAUCGUUUAUUUGAGAAGUCCAGGUUCGAGUCCCGGUGAGGGCA